UGAGGAAUAUUGGUCAAUGGGCGGGAGCCUGAACCAGCCAAGCCGCGUGAAGGAAGAAGGCGCCAGGCGUCGUAAACUUCUUUUGUCGGGGAACAAAGGGCGCCACGCGUGGCGUUGUGAGUGUACCCGAAGAAAAAGCAUCGGCUAACUCCGUGCCAGCAGCCGCGGUAAUACGGAGGAUGCGAGCGUUAUCCGGAUUUAUUGGGUUUAAAGGGUGCGUAGGCGGUCCGGAAAGUCAGCGGUAAAAGCCCGGGGCUCAACCCCGGCGAGCCGUUGAAACUGUCGGACUAGAGACGGCGAGAA
rnacentral:rRNA from 1 species